rnacentral:lncRNA from 1 species
UUCAAAGUCAAUCAAUAAAGAUUACGAACAAAUGAUUAUAAUAGUUAGACCUUAAGUAUUGUAUUUUCAGUUUCCUUAGGCGGUUUUAGAUUCAGAAAUUCAACAUUUGGCACAAAUUGUCAUUAUGUGACUUUUCCCCCUAUAGUGUGUACUAUAUUACUAUACGAAAUUCAGCCAGAACAUGAAUGCACUAUUUGCCACUGGACCUUUAGCCAUCAACAACCA